rnacentral:rRNA from 1 species
UACGAAGGGUGCAAGCGUUAUCCGGAAUCAUUGGGCGUAAAGGAUGUGUAGGUGGCCGCAUUAGUCUUUUGUUAAAUUUCCUGGCUUAACUGGGAACCUGCAGAAGAAACGGUGCGGCUAGAGGAUGCAAGGGGUCUGUGGAACUCAUAGUGUAGCGGUGAAAUGCGUUGAUAUUAUGGGGAACACCAAAAGCGAAGGCAACAGACUGGGGCACUACUGACACUGAAACAUGAAAGCGUGGGUAGCGAAUGGG